rnacentral:lncRNA from 1 species
UUAUUGUUAUUUAUCAGGAUUUAUUUAUUGUUUAUGUUUUAUUUCUGCCUUCUAAAAUUCCCAUUUAAUUUUAACAAAAGACUUAAAUAAUCAGGAGAACAUUAUUGAUAUCCAAGAUUGAAAUAUAAGUUGAUGCUGAAAAAAUUUGCAAACCGUUAGGAAAUGUGAGAGUUGAGCAGGCUUUGAAAGAUAUUAAAAUACUGCAAAAAUUAAGAAGAUAAACAUCCUCUGAAUCUCUUCAAAUAACUUGUUAAUUAUGCUUCUGUCUAAAAUAAGAAAGUCACAGAUUGUGUUAUUCAACAAAUAAUUGUAACACUUUGACAAUAUUCCAUGCACUUCAAAAUCCUCUGCUGAAAAGAUAAAAGGAAAAUCUAAAUAACAUUAGUAUUCUGAUAUUAUCUGACAGCCUAAAUUAGGCCAAAGGAAAUUAUUCCUAAAAUGACUUUCAAAAAAAGCAAAGAUGUUCUCUUUCUUCUGGUUAACCUUGCUAAACAGUAUCUAUCUAAAUGUCAUUGGUCCAUGGAUGUAUUAAAUAGAUGAAUAUUAUAUAGUAAACCCAUGGAAAUAAAACAUAGUAUCGUAUACACCAUAAUGCUGUAUAAUGCAACAAUGUAUGUAAAAUUAAAAAUUUUCAUCUUCUUUAAUAUC